rnacentral:rRNA from 1 species
UACAGAGGGUGCGAGCGUUAAUCGGAAUUACUGGGCGUAAAGCGUGCGUAGACGGUUAUUUAAGUCGGGUGUGAAAGCCCGGGGCUCAACUCCGGAAUUGCCUUUAAGACUGCAUCGCUAGAGUUGUGGAGAGGUAAGUGGAAUUCCGAGUGUAGAGGUGAAAUUCGUAGAUAUUCGGAAGAACACCAGUGGCGAAGGCGACUUACUGGACACAUAUUGACGCUGAGGUGCGAAAGCGUGGGGAGCAAACAGG